rnacentral:rRNA from 1 species
AACAAACGCUGGCGGCGUGCCUAACACAUGCAAGUCGUACGAGAAAGUCGGCUUCGGCCGAUGAGUACAGUGGCGCACGGGUGAGUAGCGCGUGGGUAAUCUGCCCCUCGGUCAGGAAUAACCCGCCGAAAGGCGGGCUAAUACCCGAUAACACUGACGCUCUGCGGAGUGUCUUUCAAAGAAGGCCUCUGUUUACAAGCUUUCGCCGGAGGAUGAGCCCGCGUACCAUUAGCUAGUUGGCAGGGUAAUGGCCUACCAAGGCAACGAUGGUUAGCUGGUCUGAGAGGAUGGCCAGCCACACUGGAACUGAGACACGGUCCAGACUCCUACGGGUGGCAG